rnacentral:rRNA from 1 species
UGGGGAAUAUUGCACAAUGGGCGCAAGCCUGAUGCAGCCAUGCCGCGUGUAUGAAGAAGGCCUUCGGGUUGUAAAGUACUUUCAGCGAGGAGGAAGGCGUUGUGGUUAAUAACCGCAGCGAUUGACGUUACUCGCAGAAGAAGCACCGGCUAACUCCGUGCCAGCAGCCGCGGUAAUACGGAGGGUGCAAGCGUUAAUCGGAAUUACUGGGUGUAAAGCGCACGCAGGCGGUCUGUCAAGUCGGAUGUGAAAUCCCCGGGCUCAACCUGGGAACUGCAUCCGAAACUGGCAGGCUAGAGGCUUGUAGAGGGGGGUAGAAUUCCAGGUGUAGCGGUGAAAUGCGUAGAGAUCUGGAGGAAUACCGGUGGCGAAGGCGGCCCCCUGGACAAAGACUGACGCUCAGGUGCGAAAGCGUGGGGAGCAAACA